GUGAGAUACUGCAUCCCCGGCGAACGUCUGUGUAACUUGGAGGAGGGCAGCCCGGGCAGCGGCACCUACACCCGCCACGGCUACAUCUUUUCGUCGCUUGCCGGCUGUCUGAUGAAGAGCAGCGAGAAUGGCGCGUUUCUUCUAGCCGUAUCGCCGCUGUGGUGCACUUAGCCACCACACACUAGUUGUGUUGAUCUCGCUUGGUUGUGCUGCUGACCCUCGGGGAGGGAAGUUGGGACAAAAGCAGAUGCGAACUCAGUAUCCCAUCCCAGCCCAGCUCAGCCCAGCACUUCCAGUGGUGUCUGUAGUGAGAGAAACAGAGUCCCAGUUACUGCCAGAUGUGGGAGCUAUUGUAACCUGUAAGGUCUCUAGCAUCAAUUCACGCUUUGCCAAAGUACACAUCCUGUAUGUGGGGUCCAUGCCUCUUAAGAACUCUUUUCGAGGAACUAUCCGCAAGGAAGAUGUCCGAGCAACUGAAAAAGACAAGGUUGUUGGUUGAAAUUUAUAAGAGUUUCCGCCCAGGUGACAUUGUCUUGGCCAAAGUGAUCUCCUUAGGUGAUGCACAGUCCAACUACCUGCUAACCACCGCCGAGAACGAGCUGGGAGUGGUGGUAGCCCACAGUGAGUCAGGUAUCCAGAUGG
rnacentral:lncRNA from 1 species